rnacentral:SRP_RNA from 1 species
CGGUAGGUAGGACCGGGGAGCUAGCCCUGCCCCACACCUCUAACGGGCUACAAGAGGGGUCAGUAACCUGCAAUGGGAUCAGAAGCGGAUGCCGAAGGACUCCGCGCUCUUCGUCGAUGUCCUGCCCAGGGGGGUCGGCGGCUGUUCCGUGUACACUCGUAGGGGUGCAACUGGACACUUAACGGGCGAACCUGGCCAGGCCCGGGAGGGAGCAACCUAAGUCCGAACGUUAGACGCUCCCUGGAAAUCGGGACGGAGAAGGGCGCCUUGACACCUCAGUGUCUCAAUCCGUGAACGGAGGGGGAGCUAUCG